rnacentral:rRNA from 1 species
GACGAACGCUGGCGGCGUGCCUAAUACAUGCAAGUAGAACGCACAGUUUAUACCGUAGCUUGCUACACCAUAGACUGUGAGUUGCGAACGGGUGAGUAACGCGUAGGUAACCUGCCUGGUAGCGGGGGAUAACUAUGGGAAACGAUAGCUAAUACCGCAUAAUAUUGAUUAUUGCAUGAUAAUUAAUUGAAAGGUGCAAUUGAACCACUACCAGAUGGACCUGCGUUGUAUUAGCUAGUAGGUGAGGUAACGGCUCACCUAGGCGACGAUACAUAGCCGACCUGAGAGGGCGAUCGGCCACACUGGGACUGUGACACGCCCCAGACUCCUACGGGAGGCAGCAGUAGGGAAUCUUCGGCAAUGGACGAAAGUCUGACCGAGCAACGCCGCGUGAGUGAAGAAGGUUUUCGGAUCGUAAAGCUCGGUUGUAAGAGAAGAACGGGUGUGAGCGUGGAAAGUUCACACUGUGACGGUAUCUUACCAGAAAGGGACGGCUAACUACGUG